UGAUGUCUGACAAUCUUCAGUGGAAUUUAGUAGAAAUUUGGUUGUCAGAAGAUGUAGAAUUCAAUCCCAACACUGUCACUACCUAACCUUGUACAAUUCACUAAUAUCUCUAAGCUUGUUUGAUCAUCAACCAAAUGAAUAGCAAACAGCUUUGCCAAGCUCAUAGAACUGUUGAGAUCAAAUGAGAUACUUGACAAAGUAAGCUUUGAACUUUGUAUAGUUUUAGCAAGUAUUCUUUAUGUACCAGAAAUGAACACUAGUAAUAAAAAGGUAGAGGCAAUUACACCUGCAAGAAAGCAAACAUGUAAAGCAAACAGUACAAAGGAGCAAUUGCUGUUAUGAAGAAUGUAUAAAACAUGCUGGUAUAUUACAACAGAAAGAAGGUGCCUUUUAUUAUAGAGUUUGAAGUUUAUAAAAUAGGAAGUUAUCAAAAGAAGGCUUAUGUAGGGAAGUGUUAUUUGAAUCGGGCCUUGAUAAGUUGUGUUUAUGUUCAGUCAUCUGGAAAAGUAUUUCAGGCCUGGCCUAAGCAAAGGCAUAGUAUUAUAAAAGUACAUGUUUAGAGAAAGCCAAGAAAUGAAAUGUAGUUAGGGAACUAACUAGAAAGGUAGGUUGGGCAGGUUAUGUGAGUGUAUUAAUAUAAGAAAGUGUUCAGUCCUUAAAACAUAAGAAAAAUAAAGCAUAUGCCUUACUAGUAGGGUGACCGUUUGCCCAGGACUGAGGAAUGUCCUGGGAUUUUGGGUUUUUGUUUUUCAAAACUGGAAGAUCCCAGGAAACAUGGUAUGAAUUGGACAGCAUUUACCAUAAAAAUAAUUCACAGAAAUUUGAGCACAAAAUUCCACAGUAUCUUUGAAAAUAUCAGUUAUAAUCCAUUUGGUUGAAUUCUGUGAAAAGCCUCAUUCAGUAUCUUAGAUUUUCUAAUGUAUUUCCUUCAGGUUUUGGCAUGUAUACCCAGGUUCAUCUUCAUGUCUGCCUAAAUAGAUCUAUAAACACCAGAAUUUGAGGCUAUGAAAUAGAGGUUAUAGGAUGCACAAAGUUUUUUUUUAAAUAUUUAUUUUUUAGUUGUAGUUGAACUCAAUAUCUUUAUUUAUUUUUUAUGUGGUGCUGAGGAGCAAUCCCAGGGCCUCACAUGUGCUAGGUGAGUGCCCUACCGCUGAGCCACAACCCCAGCCCAUAGGAUGCACAAAGUUUUAAGAUCUUUGUAAGUGGACCAGUUACUGUCUUUAUCCCCUAAAAAGUUUAGACCAGUUCUUUAUAAUCCUGCCUGUUUUUAAAAUGAAAUAUGAAACUAUAUUAACUCUUCAUAUUUUAAGCCUAAAAUGUACUAAAAUAGAUACCUCUUGUGAUAAAUAUUACAUAGCAAUAAAGCAUUUGUUUUUUGUGAUCUGAGAGGGCAUACAACAGUGAUAUAGAAAUAUUCUGUAUAGUUACUGAGCACUUAAAAUGUAGCUAGUGUGAGUAAGGAGCUGAAUUAUUAACUUUGAUAAAUUUACAUUAGCAUGUUUAAAUAACCACAUAUGGCUAGUGGCUACCAUGUUACAGUUAGCACAGUUACAUAAGAAGCUCUUCAUACACUUUUAGUUGGCCUAGAAAUAGUUAAAAUAUUUUGUGAGCUUUUUUCAAUCAAAAUUGCUAUUGGCUCCAAAUUAGAGUACAGGUAUUCUUAUCACCACAGUUUAUAAAACUAAAUAAAUAAAUGUUUACGCUGCU
rnacentral:lncRNA from 1 species